rnacentral:rRNA from 1 species
CCUACGGGAGGCAGCAGUGGGGAAUAUUGCACAAUGGGGGAAACCCUGAUGCAGCGACGCCGCGUGAGUGAAGAAGUAUCUCGGUACGUAAAGCUCUAUCAGCAGGGAAGAAAAUGACGGUACCUGACUAAGAAGCUACGUCUAACUACGUGACAGCAGCGGCGGUAAUACGGAGGGGGCAAGCGUUAUCCGGAUUUACUGGGUGUAAAGGGAGCGUAGACGGCAGCACAAGUCUGUCGUGAAAUUCCGGGGCUUAACCCCGGAACUGCUUUGGAAACUGUGCGGCUGGAGUGCAGGAGGGGUAAGCGGAAUUCGUGGUGUAGCGGUGAAAUGCGUAGAUAUUAGGAGGAACACCGAUGGCGAAGGCAGCUUACUGGACUGUAACUGACGUUGAGGCUCGAAAGUGUGGGGAGCAAACAGGAUUAGAUACCCUUGUAGUC